ensembl:snRNA U6 U6 spliceosomal RNA
GUCUCUUUGGCAGCGCCAUAUGCUAAAACUGGAACAAUACAGAGAUUAGCAUGGCCCCUGUGCAGCGACCACAUGCACAUUUGUCAAGUGUUCCAUAUUUUA